CGUACAUUCUUCUGACUAUUGUUUUAACUUCAGAAAAGUGCGAACAGAAUCGCUGUUUGUCAUUUAAUGAUCAUAUAUAUGUUAAAUAUGUAUAAAUGUAAAAUAUCUGUGCAUGGAUUUAACACUACAACGAACUACUGUGUUGUUCUGUUACGAUAUUUUUUUAUUAAAGUGUUGAGUGGAUAUAUAUUAAUAGAGGAAAUCUUCCAAGGCAUCGGGAACAGCUGGGUGAGGCGGAAGUAACCGCAUAUUGCCAUUCGUCCCCUGUGAAUCGGUGACCACAAAUGAAGAUGCACCUCGACUCGUUGACGGCUUGGCCACUGCAUCAAAGUCUUCCCUGGACAGCCUGGUACAGGUUGCAGAGAAGUAAAUUGACCAAUGAGCGUCGUGUUGCCCACGAAGAUAGUGCUUUUAAAAUACGAGUUUGAAAAUAGCUCGCUGUGCGGUUCUACGUGGAUAUCAAUUAGCCAAGUUCUCAACUGUCCGUUCAUAUCCUAAAUUAUAAAGUUUAGGAUACUGUUAGUUGCAUUGUUAUUAACCUAAUGAGUUAGUGCUGUCGUGCGCAAUUAGUGAUCUUUUAAAUGACAGUAUUGGUUGAAUAGUUAGGCGCCAUGACCAGCGAAGCUGCAACAGAUAAACUGCAGCCACUGCAGGCUGUGUUUAAUUAUCCGGUAGAGAUUAAAGUGACGUACGACAAUUUGGCUGAGUUUUCCUGUUAUGUAUUUGUUUCUGUAUAAAAACAGGUUACAUAGCC
rnacentral:lncRNA from 1 species